rnacentral:lncRNA from 1 species
GGUCAUAUUUCUCUGCUUCUUUGCACGCCUGAUAAUUUUUAACUUGAUAUCUACAUUGUGAAUUUCACCUUGUUUUUAUAGAUACCCGGUCUUGCUAUCUUUCCCAAGCUGUUCUUGAUCUCCUGGCUUCAAGUGAUCCUUGACCUCCCAAAGUGCUGGGAGGAUAGACAUGAGCCACUGUGCCUGACCCAAGUGGAAUAAACUCUAAUGUUAAGUGGGGGAAGUCAAGAUGGCUAACCAGGCACAGCCAGGUGGAUCAUUUCUUACCAAAAGGAUGAGACUUCAGGAAGACUGGCACAUUCUGAGCAGAUCUUUGUGGGGAAGGCAUUGAGAGUGGACAGAGCUUCAGGCACGUCUCAGCAUGCCUCCCUCUCAUGGAAGUUCCCAGGAAGCCCACCAUGUACGUGUCUGUACGUGUCUGUAGAAGAGGAGGAAAUUUUUUUCCGGGAGCCGGCUGAUUACACAAAGAACAAAGGAAUGAAAACCCUAAGUGCGAGUAGGGACAUUGUGCAUUGAUCGUUCAGACUACUUCAUGCUGGAGAGGGCAUCAUAUGGGGGACAGCAGCUGGGAUUUCUCCUGUGAUCAAUCUAAGGGUCCUCUUAAGAAGAGCACAUCCAUGCGUGGUUCUAUUUGUAUCACUAUUUGGAGCAUGAUAGGCUCUAGGCAAAAAGAAACAAUUUAGGUUAUAAGAGAACAUGUGUUAAAACAAGACUGGGGUUAAUGACGUUUUAAAAAUUCCGAGGCUGCUGACACAGUUGGAUAACUGAUGAUUGUAGUUAUGUCUGUUAAGAUUUGGGUGCAUGGGCUUGGCUUUGGUUAUCUCCAUUGGUUUUAUUUUCCCCCCAAAAAACGUCUGGGUUAUGGGUAUCAUAUUUACUCCUAUUACCUGGCACGAUUUGCAAGAUAAUUAACCAGUACUAGAAUAUUGAUCCAGUUUUAUUGUUGUCGUUGUUGUUUUCACUACACAUCCUUUUUUGUUUCUUCUGAGCAGCAGGAGGAAAUCACUAGUUGAUUCAAAGGAAUAAGCAGGAAUAGUCUAAAAUGUAGGAAAAAAACUUAAA